GCUGCUGCAGGAAGCCGCUUGAUCAGAUAGUGACAAUGACGGGUAAACAUCCAGGAUCACAUCACUCCUACAUGUAAACCGCACAUUGAGCAGCGGCUGCAUCGAUCACGAUACCUACCAAUAUGUUCCUAUCGAACGGUUAUCUGAUCAGACAUGUGAUCGGGACGCGCGCACACACCGGAGCGUGUGCACGGUGUCCGGGGUUUGUCUCAGCUCAUCACACCGCGGACUAUUUUCUCCUUCGCCUGAAAUCUGAGACUCAUUUGGUGGAAGGAAAAUAAGCUGAGUGGGUGAAUGGUAAAGAGAGCAGAUAUAAACAAAACGCUCACUUGCAUCACACCAGUAAAACUGCCAUUAAUCACAUAUUACACACACGUCCUGAUCAUUUGAUACUAAUUAGUGAUUUGAACAUAUUGGUAAUCGAUAAUGAGCCACACUCUCUCUCUAUGUGAUUGUAAAUGUGGAAUAAUCAGAAGAAUGAAGUCACCAGGUCAAGAAAAACAAGACCUAUACAAAUGCUUUGAUCAUGACUUAUUGUGUGCUGCCAUCUGUUGAUGAAAACAGGAAAUGAUCCUCCACUGCUCCAUGAUGGCUCAGGUCCUGAUGAUGCAGGACAGCAAGAGACUGAGGCGACUAAACCAUUUCCCCCCCCCGUUUUGCAGAAUGUGAUGAUGAUGGGGACACAAGAAGGGAGCUGCACCGUUACGCCUUUUAAACCUCCAGAAAGCUUUUUAAAGCGUUAAUGCAGAUAUUUGUCUCAGAAUAUUUUAAAAUACAUAUUAGCAUUUGCGGUCAAGGUUGUUAACAGCGCAGGAAACAACAGGAACUUGUUGCAUGUCAUAUAACAGCUUGGAUGCCAAGAUCCUUUCAGUGCUGCAGACCAGGGAAAUGGUUAAUGUGAAUUUAAAUUUGAUUAAAAGUCAAAUAAAAUGUAUACAAAUGAA